GGAAUAUUGGGCAAUGGGCGCAAGCCUGACUCAGCAACGCCGCGUGAAGGAAGAAGGCUUUCGGGUUGUAAACUUCUUUUAUUCGGGACGAAGAAAGUGACGGUACUUAAUGAAUAAGUCAUGGCUAACUACGUGCCAGCAGCCGCGGUAAUACGUAGGUGGCAAGCGUUAUCCGGAUUUAUUGGGUGUAAAGGGCGUGUAGGUGGGAAUGCAAGUCAGAUGUGAAAACUCAGGGCUCAACCCUGAGCCUGCAUUUGAAACUGUAUUUCUUGAGUGCUGGAGAGGCAAUCGGAAUUCCGUGGGUAGCGGUGAAAUGCGUAGAUAUACGGAGGAACACCAGUGGCGAAGGCGGAUUGCUGGACAGUAACUGACGCUGAGGCGCGAAAGCGUGGGGAGCAAAC
rnacentral:rRNA from 1 species